UCCAAACCUUCUUCACUAAGUAUUAUGCUUUUUUCCACAAUUCAUAUCUGGUGCUGUAAAAAUUCUGGAAAACUAUAAUCUUUUCCCUUAUUAAUAACUAAGUAUCUAAAGAUUCUAAAACACUUGCAGAAAUCCAAAAAUUCUUCAUUACUGCAUUUUUUUUUUACAAUUGAUACUACUUGUGUCUCUAAUGUUGAGUACAAUCAUAUUGUAUUACUGCUAAAAAAAUACCCGAAUAAAGUUCGACAACAAUGUUUUUAAAUGUGGAUUAUAUAUAUAGAUUCUUGCUACAUUAGUAUUGUUAUAUUUGUCAUGCUCAACUUCUGUGUUCUGGUUGAAGAGUGACGUAUGUAUUUAAUACUGCAAUAAAAGCUUACUCUUCUUCUUUAUCUUCCUACUAAACUCACGCCUUCGACAAUAAUAUCUAUAAAUGUUUUGCCUUCCACGAUUGCACUUGAUAACAACUGAAAGAAUUCUGUUAUCUAUAGACAAAAUAAGGAUAAAAUAGACGUCAAGCCUUCAACAACAAUAUCUAAAGAUGAGGUCACGCCUUAAACAACAAUAUCUAUAAAUAUUGUUUACAUAUAGUUUAGUGUUAUGGAGUUUAGACUAUAUUAGAUUCUUAUUAUAACCUUGGAUUUUGGUAUUGCAUAGAAGUUCAACUUCCUGGUACUUUUCUUCCUCUAAAACGAGUAUUCGACAACAAUAUCUAUAAAGGUUGUUUAUAUACAAUUUAGUGAUAUGAAGUUUAAACUAUAUUAGAUCUUCAUUGUAGCCUCAGAAAUUGAUAUUGGAUAUAUAGUCGUUCAACUUCCUCCCCUGUUAGCAUUUCUUUCUCUACACUUUGUUGUUCUGCUUGAAGCAGCAUAUGCAUUAAAUAUAGCGGCUACAUUGUAAUGAUCAGGAAUAUUUUUUCCUAGCAAAAUUGUCAUGCCUUAUUAUUUUUGUUUGAUUAAAUAUAGAUUGUUACUAUAUUAGCUUUGUUAUAUUUUUCCUGCUCUACUCUUUUCUGUUCUGCUUGAAAAUGUUAACAUACAUAAUGAUCAGGAAAAAAUACUUUCUUCCCAGCAAUAUUAUAAAAAUCAUGAAAUCUAUUUUCCAACUUUCUCAUAUCUUGAUUUUUUGCCGUAUCUAAGUGCUUUUUCUCUUCUUUCAAAAGACACCCCUCUUUUUACUCUUUGAAAAGUCAUGCCACUCUCUUCAUCUUAAUUGUAACCAAUCGUUGUUUACUCUUCCUCAUAUUUUAUCCUCGCUACAGCAAAUCCCAUCUUUCUUUCUCAUUUUUUGUUUGCUGCAUUAUGAUCUGUUUCUACCUCAUAUUUUUCUUAUAUUUAGCUCUUCUUCCUUCAAAAAGUACAGCUCUUUUUACUCAUUCAAAAGUUAUGCCUCUUACUCUUCUUCUUUCUCUUCCUACUAAACUCAUGCCUUCGACAACAAUAUCUAUAAAUAUUGUCUUCCCACGCUUGCAGUGGAUAACAACUGCAUGAAUUCGGAUAUCUAUAGACAAAAUAAGGAAAAGACAGAGUGACGCCUUCAACAAUAAUAUCUAAAAAUAAAGUCACGCCUUAACCAACAAUACCUAUAAAUGUUGUUUAUAUAUAAUUUAGUGUUAUGGAGUUUAGACUAUAUUAGUUUCUUUUUUAUAGCCUUAGAUUUGGUAUUGCAUAAUAAUUCAACUUCCUGUUACUUCUCUUCCUCCAAAACUGACACAUUCGACAAUAAUAUCUAUAAAUGUUGUUUAUAUAAAAUUUAGUAUUAUGAAGUUUAGAGUAUAUUAGAUUUUCAUCGUAAAAGCAUCAUAAAGGAAGAAGGUUUGGAAUAGUGACGUGAUGUCCUAUUUUUCCUCCCACUCGCCAGACCUAAAAAUUUUAUUCUUUUUUCUUGGAUGAGAAGAAGAACACGAAAUUCAUUAGCGGAGAAAUCUGACUACGAUUAUCCAGAAAGGUCCUAUUAUCUCAGGGGUAAUGCAAUAUAGAUGGAAACAUUGAUCAUACAAGCUCAUCAAAGUGAGUUAGCAAAAAAUUUACUCUUUUUUCCUUCUAAUUACAACUUUUGUUAGUCAAUGUGGAAGAUUUUGUUUCCAAUGUUAACGUGAUGAUUUAAAUGUGGUUCUGUAAUACAAGUAGAAAACGUGAUGUGUUUAAUGUAAAUCGAUUCGUUAGUUCUAGAUUUCUCUACUAAAGGAUGCAGAUUAUUCUGUGUGCAUAUUAGUAGACAUUGAUAUUUUUUUUUAUCAAACAUCAUGUCUUCAUAUACUAACGAGGGCCUGGAUUAGUCAUAUGAAGGUUAGCUUGAUGAUUGUUCUAACGAUUCUAGGAUGCAUUUGAGCCCUAAGGAUGUGUAGCAAACAUAUAUGCAGACUCCUCUGAAGAUUGCCUACUUUGUUGUCUAUCCAUUUGCUUUUAUUAAACCAUGCAGUGCUCAUCGAGUUAUGACUCUGAAAGAUGUUAAAAAACUGAUAUGCACCCCGCAAUCAAAGUCAAGGCAAAAUAGUAGAUCAUUAAAAUUUGCACAUCCAAAUCAGCAUUCUCGGGCAAGCUUGGCAUUCGAUCGGAAGACCAAAGUACAGACUGAAGGAGGAAAGCAUUAAUGUUAUGAAGACCAAAGGUUAAUUCGUUUAUUGUUGCCUAUUCAUUUUUGGAGGCUAUGCUGCUCCAUUUCUUUUGUGUUUGCGACAGGUUACCAGAAGAGACGCAGACAGAGCAUAACAGAGAUAGAAAUGAAGUCUACUCCAUUUGAAUAGAGAGCUGAUUGUUCCAUUUAGAUUUGGGGAUGUAAAGCGUUGUCCCACUUUUUACUCUAAAUGAUCGUUUACUUCUUCUUGGACUUGUGAUGUUGUGGUGAUGAAUCUUGCUGAUAUAAUAUUCAUAUAUUUUACUUUCA